GGCCGCAGUAUAUUAACUGUGCAAAGGUAGCAUAAUCAUUAGUCUUUUAAUUGAAGGCUGGUAUGAAUGGUUGGACAAAAUAUUAGCUGUUUCAUAAAAAUUUAUAAUAGAAUUUUAUUUUUUAGUUAAAAAGCUAAAAUUUAUUUAAAAGACGAGAAGACCCUAUAAAUCUUUAUAUUUAAUUUAUUAAAAUUUUUAAGAAUUUUUUAAUUAUAAUAAAUAAUAAUAUUUUAUUGGGGUGAUGUUAAAAUUUAAUAAACUUUUAAUUUAAUUUUUCAUUUAUUUAUGAGUUAUUGAUCCGUUAUUAACGAUUAAAAAAUUAAGUUACUUUAGGGAUAACAGCGUAAUUUUUUUGGAGAGUUCACAUUAAUAAAAAAGAUUGCGACCUCGAUGUUGGAUU
rnacentral:rRNA from 1 species